rnacentral:rRNA from 1 species
GACGAACCGUCCAAACGUUAUUCGGAAUCACUGGGCUUAAAGGGUGCGUAGGCGGCGCGGAAAGUUGGGUGUGAAAUCCCUCGGCUUAACCGAGGAACUGCGCCCAAACUACCGUGCUUGAGGGAGAUAGAGGUGAGCCGGAACUUAGGGUGGAGCGGUGAAAUGCGUUGAUAUCCUAAGGAACACCGGUGGCGAAGCGGCUCACUGGAUCUCUCUGACGCUG